rnacentral:lncRNA from 1 species
AGGAAGCAACGGAUGAAGAUGUGGUUCGGAGAUCAACGCGUGUCCGUGCUCCACCAAGGGAUAAUCCUGCUCUUGCCUUUUUGAAGUAUGUUAACAAAUGGAAAGAAGACUGACUUGGAAGUUAGGCUAUGGUGUUACACUGCCGUUCAGAUUUUGUAUUGAAAUUGGAGCUAACCAUCAAUACGAGAUGAAUAUAGGGUAAUGAAAUUCAUCAAGACUGACUUGGAAAUUAGGCUAUGGUACUCUGCUAUUCAGAUUUUGUAUUGAAAUCGCAGCUAACCAUCAAUACGAGAUGAAUGUAAAGAUGAAAUUCAUCCUGCAUUUGUUAAAAUGGCAGUUUAAUUUUUUUCUUCGCAUUUGAACGCUGGCCAUGAUAGGAAUGAAAUUUUGUUCUUCAUUCCUGUGAUUAUGGUACAGAUUCAAGGUUACUGUUCCAAUUUUGUAUACAGUGCCUAUAGGCUGGUAGAUAUUUUGUUAAUGUAGUUGCUAGCAUCAGUACUUUCUUCUAAUAAUUUUGUCUAUCUACAUUGAUCAUAUUGUGAUAAGAAUGAAAUAC